UUCUUCUUCUUCUUCUUCUUCUCUCCUCCCAACACAUCUGGAUUAUUUUUUUUCUUUUUAAAGCCGUUCAUAUUGGUAUUCAGUAGUUGAGAGUUGAGCUUGAGCGUAUUCACUGUUAGAUUUGUUCAGAUUCAGAUAAAGACAGGACAUUUGGUACGUUUCACCGACACCUGUACGUCUUGCAUGACAGAGAGAGAAGGUCAUGGAAGAGCAGAGAGAGAGAGAGAGAGAGAGAGAGAGGGUUCUUGACUUUCUGGUGGCUACAGUCUUUCUUGGUCCCAUUAAAACCCUAAAUCGUCAUUAAAGCCUUUCAGUCUUACAGGAUAAGGAGUGUGAACCGUAGAUUUAUGGUAACUUUCCUUAAAUGGGUCUCACUGUAUUCUCAGAUCUGACUUCCAUUCUUUUGUACAUUUUAUGCUUCUUUUUCCUUUCUUCUCUAUUUUUCCAUUUCUGGGUAGCUUGUCUUUAUAUUAUUUACUUUGCUACCGAUGAUCUCCUCUCAUCUUUACUUUGAUACCUAUCUCCUUUCAUCAACUUCUGGGACAUAGAAAUUGACAGAAGAGAGUGAGCACACAGAGGCAUUUGUAUAAAUCUAUACCUUUGCUUUUGUGUGCUCACUUCUCUUUCUGUCAGCUUCCAGCGCCGGAAUUUGAUCUCUCUCAGGUCAUUUAAAUUCCUGGCCUGUUUUUGUUCCAGAUUGAUACCUCUCUUGUUUUCUUUUUCGUCAUCGGUUUUCAAAGAGCUUUUUCGCUUCCAAGAGGACGAAGAUGGGAUAUGAAGGUUGAGCAAACAGAGAAAAAAUGGUGCCAACUAUUAAUUAUUACCAAAAAGGGAAUAUGUAUUUGCCUUUCUUUGAAUUUAUUUAAGUUUAUGCAUUAAAUUAUAUAUUUAAUAGCUUCAAAAGCGUGGCUUUUGAUGGUGUUUGCUUAAGAGGUAGUCGAGAUUACUGUGCAGAUUUAGCGGCAAAACAAUGAAUAUAGCAUGGGGAAGGGAGAUGAUUCACGUUAUCUAAGUUUAUAGCAUGGUCCUCACUUGCAAAACCUUCUCUCCAUUUUUUUGGCUUCUUACUCUUAUCGUUAUCAUCUCUGCAUAAUAUGCAUUCUAUUUUUUUUUAUUCCUGCGCAUGGUUUUAUGUACCAAGUUCGAGAUUUGCUUCUGAUUGGACUUUGUAUUCACCUGAAUCUACUACUACCUUCAAAACUUUCAAUAGAAAAAUGGGUUUUCCUUUUUAUGGUUCAAAAAACCCUAUCUUAAUUACCUGGAAUAGGGUUGCUUGUGUUGCUAUUGCACAAGGGAUAUCUUGUGGCUCCUUUUUGCUAUGAUUUUCGACAUUAUCUGGUCACUUUCACAGUAACUCAAGUGGGUUCUGAAAAGAUUUUACUUCUUUUUCCAGAUUUUCUGUAUUGGUUGUUUCAAAGGAGUUGUUUCUUUUAGUGUAUAUGUGUGUGGAUGAUUGAUCCGAUGUGAUGUUUUUGGGUGCAUAUGAGGGGGUGAAGGACUCUUUAGAUUAGGUACAAUAAUGAUGCUUCUUUCCUCAUAUGGGAAGUUUUCUGCAACUUUUUCGUAUGUUCUGAGUUUUUGCUGAUAGCUAGGUACUCGAUUAAGAAAAGUCAACCUAUUUGUCAUGGGCGAAAGGUUCCCUAGAAGAAAUCUAAUCCAACAGAUGUUAAAUAUAUGAGCUGGAUGCUCAAAUGGUUUAGAAAGCAAAUGUUUCCGUCCAUGGAGUUUACAAUAACACAUUCUUUGCAAGGGACAAGAAGCGAUCAUUCACUGCUUGGACCUCAGCUUCAAAGAUCUUACACAGGGCAAGUCAGGGAAAAGAUGAGAACGUAGGAAUAAUUUCUGGUAAUUCAGUACAUGAAGAAGAAAUUAAGAAUCCAAACUUGCAACCUACUUCUACAUUAAAAUAAUGGCAGAUAACCAGCCCGGCAGGUGCCCGGCAGAAACAGAAGGGCGCUCAGUAGAUUACACAAAGGUUGGCCGAACUAAGGUAUUUUCUUGGGGCCAAUUUUAGCUAAUACUAUGACAAAAAAUAUGCUAAUAACCUUGUUCUAUCCCAAUCUGCACUUCUUUAGUUGGUCAACAUCUUCAGUCACGUCAUGCCUUGAUAAUGCUGCAAGCACCUCACACACUUUUUGAAAGGACACCAGCAGCAAACAGAAGAUUCCUCCGAGAAAACUGAUACCAGAGUAACAUGCAAACAUUAUAUACCACCAGACAACAUAUUAAAGGACUGGGAAGGAUAUCAAGUAAAAGAAUUUGAGUGUUUGGGAAAUUACCCUUAAUGUAUACACUGGUGUCGAUUUUGUUGGCAGAGUUUUCAAUGACCUCAAUCUGUUUGCGCUUCCACUUUUGCUGAUUGAAUGAAAUAUAUUUCAGUAAA